GUUGAAAGUGUAUGCUGAUUUGGAUGACACAUGCUAGAUGACUAGAGUCAGUUUUCGCAGUACAGGUGCAGGCCGCGGCUUCUGAGCAGACAAGGCUUUCGGUAGAGAUUAAAAUCCCCACUGAGGAUUGAAAUAUGCUGCUGGUUUUGAUGUGGUGGAUUUACGCCUGUCAUCAGUAUUUGUAUUUGCACCUUAAUGAAUGAAAAAGCUAGCUCUCACGGAUGGGGAUUAAACUCAGUGGUUUCACCCCCUGCUGCGCAAGAGCAAGGACCGGAGUUCGAUCCCUGAUACCAAAAA